CCUACGGGUGGCAGCAGUGGGGAAUAUUGGACAAUGGGCGAAAGCCUGAUCCAGCCAUGCCGCGUGUGUGAAGAAGGCCUUCGGGUUGUAAAGCACUUUCAGUGGGGAAGAAAGCCUUGGGGCUAAUACCCUCGAGGAAGGACAUCACCCACAGAAGAAGCACCGGCUAACUCCGUGCCAGCAGCCGCGGUAAUACGGAGGGUGCGAGCGUUAAUCGGAAUUACUGGGCGUAAAGCGCGCGUAGGCGGUCUGAUAAGCCGGUUGUGAAAGCCCCGGGCUCAACCUGGGAACGGCAUCCGGAACUGUCAGGCUAGAGUGCAGGAGAGGAAGGUAGAAUUUCCGGUGUAGCGGUGAAAUGCGUAGAGAUCGGGAGGAAUACCAGUGGCGAAGGCGGCCUUCUGGACUGACACUGACGCUGAGGUGCGAAAGCGUGGGUAGCAAACAGGAUUAGAUACCCAAGUAGUC
rnacentral:rRNA from 1 species